rnacentral:rRNA from 1 species
UACAGAGGGGGCAAGCGUUAUUCGGAAUUAUUGGGCGUAAAGGGCGCGUAGGCGGCCUGGCAAGUGGAAGGUGAAAUCCCUCGGCUUAACCGAGGAACUGCCCUCCAAACUGCUUGGCUUGAGUCCGGGAGAGGUGAGUGGAAUUCCACGUGUAGCAGUGAAAUGCGUAGAGAUGUGGAGGAACACCGAUGGCGAAGGCAGCCCCCUGGGCUAACACUGACGCUCAUGCACGAAAGCGUGGGGAGCAAACAGG